UGUAUAUUACCUCCGCCCCGAAUUACUUGUCUUGGAUUUGUCCAGAUACGGAUGUAUCUAGACACGUUUUAGUGUUAGAUACAUCCGUAUCUUGUCUAGAUACAUCUGUAUCUUGACAAAUCUAAGACAAGUAAUUUGGGACGGAGGGAGUAUGUG
rfam:Triticum aestivum genome assembly, contig: Triticum_aestivum_CS42_TGACv1_scaffold_377288_5AL